rnacentral:rRNA from 1 species
GGCUCAGAAAGACGCUGGCGGCUUGUCCAAUGCAUGCAAGUCGCACGCGCCUCCUUCGGGAGGUGAGUGGCGCACGGCUGAUUAGCACGUACGAACCAACCCCGGGGUGGGGGAUAACGCGCCGAAAGGCGUGCUAAUCCCGCAUACGGUCGCAAGACGAAAGCCGCAAGGCGCCCUGGGACGGGCGUGCGGCCCAUCAUGUUGUUGGCGGGGUAAUGGCCCACCAAGCCACUGACGGGUAGCUGGUCUGUGAGGACGACCAGCCAGACUGGGACUGCGACACGGCCCAAACUCCUACGGGAGGCAGCAGUGGG